UAUUUGAGCUUGCAUAUUUGUUGCUAUCCCUUUGGCCGGUCAGGUUCUGUGGUAUCUUAUGUGCAGAAGUUGUAAUGUUGGCGCUGGAUGCUUCGCUGUGCCACAAGUUAUUGGAGCAUGGUCGGUCACUUC